rnacentral:rRNA from 1 species
ACGAACGUUGGCGGCGUGGAUUAGGCAUGCAAGUCGAACGAAGACGCUUUGGGUAGCAAUAUUUGAAGCGGACUGAGUGGCGAAAGGGGCAGUAAUGCGUGGGUAACCUACCCUGGGGAUGGGCAUAGCCGGACUAACGUCCGGGUAAUUCCCAGCGAUGUGACGAGGGGACAUCCCCUUGUCACCAAAUGGACUCCGCCCUGGGAGGGGCUCACGUCGUAUUAGCUUGUUGGCGGGGUAACGGCCCACCAAGGCUAAGAUGCGUAGCGGGUGUGAGAGCACGACCCGCGCCACUGGCACUGAGACACUGGCCAGACACCUACGGGUGGCUGCAGUCGAGGAUCUUUGGCAAUGGGCGCAAGCCUGACCAAGCGACGCCGCGUGUGCGAUGAAGGCCUUCGGGUUGUAAAGCACUGUCGAGGGGGAUAAAACCGCAAGGUUGAUAGAUCCCUGGAGGAAGCACGGGCUAAGUUCGU